rnacentral:rRNA from 1 species
AGAGUUUGAUCCUGGCUCAGAUUGAACGCUGGCGGCAGGCCUAACACAUGCAAGUCGAGCGGUGGAGAGAAGCUUGCUUUUCUUGAGAGCGGCGGACGGGUGAGUAAUGCCUAGGAAUCUGCCUAGUGGUGGGGGAUAACGUUCGGAAACGGACGCUAAUACCGCAUACGUCCUACGGGAGAAAGCGGGGGAUCUUCGGACCUCGCGCCAUUAGAUGAGCCUAGGUCGGAUUAGCUAGUUGGUGAGGUAAUGGCUCACCAAGGCGACGAUCCGUAACUGGUCUGAGAGGAUGAUCAGUCACACUGGAACUGAGACACGGUCCAGACUCCUACGGGAGGCAGCAGUGGGGAAUCUUGCGCAAUGGGCGAAAGCCUGACGCAGCCAUGCCGCGUGAAUGAUGAAGGUCUUAGGAUUGUAAAAUUCUUUCACCGGGGACGAUAAUGACGGUACCCGGAGAAGAAGCCCCGGCUAACUUCGUGCCAGCAGCCGCGGUAAUACGAAGGGGGCUAGCGUUGCUCGGAAUUACUGGGCGUAAAGGGAGCGUAGGCGGACAUUUAAGUCAGGGGUGAAAUCCCGGGGCUCAACCUCGGAAUUGCCUUUGAUACUGGGUGUCUUGAGUGUGAGAGAGGUAUGUGGAACUCCGAGUGUAGAGGUGAAAUUCGUAGAUAUUCGGAAGAACACCAGUGGCGAAGGCGACAUACUGGCUCAUUACUGACGCUGAGGCUCGAAAGCGUGGGGAGCAAACAGGAUUAGAUACCCUGGUAGUCC